rnacentral:rRNA from 1 species
UACAGAGGGGGCAAGCGUUAUUCGGAAUGAUUGGGCGUAAAGGGCGCGUAGGCGGCUUUUGAAGUGAGGGGUGAAAUCCCUCGGCUUAACCGAGGAACUGCCUGUCAGACUGGAAGGCUUGAGACCGGGAGAGGUGAGUGGAAUUCCCAGUGUAGCGGUGAAAUGCGUAGAUAUUGGGAGGAACACCAGUGGCGAAGGCGGCUCACUGGACCGGAACUGACGCUGAGGCGCGAAAGCGUGGGGAGCAAACAGG